rnacentral:misc_RNA from 1 species
UAAUUAUAUUCAUAGAGAUAUCAAGCCGGAUAACUUACUUCUUGACAAGGACGGCCAUAUGAAAUUAUCAGAUUUCGGAUUAUGUAAACCAUUAGAUUGUAGUAACCUCCAAGAAAAGGAUUUUUCCCAGGGAAGUAACCUCAGUGGUGCUCUUCAAAGUGAUGGGCGUCCUGUGGCAUCAAAACGCACACAACAGGAACAACUGCAGCAUUGGCAAAGGAAUAGGCGGAUGCUUGCUUAUUCAACAGUUGGAACUCCUGAUUAUAUUGCCCCGGAAGUUUUGUUGAAGAAAGGAUAUGGAAUGGAA